UCUGUCCCUAGAGGUGUUCCAGGUGUGGCUGCUAUGUCACAUGUGCGUCAGUAGGUGGCAGAGAGGAGAGAUGCUACAUCUACACUCAGUGUUCUGACCUGUGAACAUGUGAUUAGUAGCCUGAC
rnacentral:snoRNA from 1 species